rnacentral:rRNA from 1 species
UGGGGAAUAUUGCACAAUGGAGGGAACUCUGAUGCAGCGACGCCGCGUGAGUGAUGAAGGAAUUCGUUUCGUAAAACUCUGUUCUAUGGGAAGAAAAGGACUGUACCAUAGGAGAAAGCUCCGGCUAAAUACGUGCCAGCAGCCGCGGUAAUACGUAUGGAGCGAGCGUUGUCCGGAAUUAUUGGGCGUAAAGGGUGCGCAGGCGGCUUUACAAGUUGGAUGUGAAAUAUUGUGGCUCAACCACAAACGUGCAUCCAAAACUGCAAAGCUUGAGUUAAGGAGAGGUAGGUGGAAUUCCUGGUGUAGCGGUGGAAUGCGUAGAUAUCAGGAGGAAUACCGGUGGCGAAGGCGACUUACUGGACUUAAACUGACGCUCAGGCACGAAAGCGUGGGGAGCAAACAGG